AAACAAAAAUAAAAAUAUCUGAAGGUUACAACAACACAAACCGUACACGAGAGAGAGUGUGAGCACAAAAUCUCAUCCUGGCCUAACUCUACGGCUGUUACGUCACGAGCUCGAUAAAAGAUAGUCAUUUCUUGUAGGGUGCGGAGAAAAAUUCAUGUUGCUUCUUUUGAGAAGUCAAAAGAUGCCACUGAAUCUUGUCACCCAAUAAAAAUGAGACCAAGAAUCAUCAAGUGCAUGAUAGGCACAAUAUUAUGCCCUUUUGCCUUUAUUUAUGCCCGCUUGUUUGCUUCUUUUGUUUUUGUUUUCUUUUUGUUAUUGUUGGGGAGGGGGUUUAGAAAAUAGAAUUCAUUUAUGAUAUCUUAUUACUAGCUUUUAAGAUCACUAUGCAAUAUCAUUGUAGACUGUCUUUUCUACUAUAUCAUCCGAUAUUUCAACAUUCUGGCCAACAUAUAUCUGCUGUCAGAAUAUUUCGACCAAUUCAAAUUUUUUCAGCCUUCCAUCUCAGCCAGGUAUAACUGAUGUACCUGAGAUCUUAAACCUGGUCUAUCGACAAUCAUUGUUCCUUCUAUUCUGGUUUUACAAAUGCAGAUUUUUUUGAUGGUCCAAUGGACAACCACAAAGGGAAAUAAUACAAUAGCACUAUAAUUGCCGACAGCUAAGUCUAAUACCUCAUCCUCUCAGCCAGUGAGUCAGCCAAUCCAAUAAGCAUCGUUUAAGUGUAUGGCCCAAGGAAAUGCUUCCUCCAACAGAGAUAUUCUUGCUUUACUCAAAAUGGAAGCAACUAUUGAUUAUAAAGGCCCAGUCAAUGCUGAUCAUCCAAAUCACUUUACUAACUUAUAGAUGAUGAUGCACACGCACGAUUUCUAUGGGAACCCCGCAAGUUUCCAAGGCGUCACUAGGGCAAUUGCAUGCAAUAAUGUUCUGUACUUUCAUAAAAUAGGAUUAUAUGUUAUUUUAGAAAUUCAGAUUGAGGAAGAAAUUUAAGUGAGAAGGGGCUAUUAUUUGCUGAAAGUCAACAUGAUAACAAUCACAAUUACCAUUAAGCCCUGUUCAACUUUAUCAAUGUUUGGUCACAAAUCAUUUCCGAGUAUCGGCUACCUCAUGCAUUAUUGCAAGCUUAACCAAAAUGGAUUCUUCCAAUUCUCAUUUGUCUUACCAUAGAAACUACCUUUCUGGGCCAUUCGAGAAAGAAUCAAACAGCUCUUUCUAGGACCUCCCUAUUCAUUGCUGAACAUGUCAGGCCAUCUUACUUGGUCCCUAUUUCCCCGUACUCUGACAAUUGGUGCACCUUCUACACUGCAUACAAUGCAGUCAUUUCUCCAACUAUUUGUCUAGUUAUUCUAGACAUCUAUCACAAGAUUCACAACAUUGAAGUCAAUGAUGAACAAUGGGGGAGGGGGAGAGGAG